rnacentral:rRNA from 1 species
UGGGGAAUAUUGCACAAUGGGCGCAAGCCUGAUGCAGCCAUGCCGCGUGUGUGAAGAAGGCCUUCGGGUUGUAAAGCACUUUCAGCGAGGAGGAAGGUGGUGAACUUAAUACGUUCAUCAAUUGACGUUACUCGCAGAAGAAGCACCGGCUAACUCCGUGCCAGCAGCCGCGGUAAUACGGAGGGUGCAAGCGUUAAUCGGAAUUACUGGGCGUAAAGCGCACGCAGGCGGUUUGUUAAGUCAGAUGUGAAAUCCCCGGGCUCAACCUGGGAACUGCAUUUGAAACUGGCAAGCUAGAGUCUCGUAGAGGGGGGUAGAAUUCCAGGUGUAGCGGUGAAAUGCGUGGAGAUCUGGAGGAAUACCGGUGGCGAAGGCGGCCCCCUGGACGAAGACUGACGCUCAGGCUGCGAAAGCGUGGGGAACAAACAGGAUUAGAUACCCUGGUAGUCCACGCUGUAAACGAUGUCGAUUUUGGAGGUUGUGCCCUUGAGGCGUGGCUUCCGGAGCUAACGCGUUAAAUCGACCGCCUGGGGAGUACGG